rnacentral:lncRNA from 1 species
CUGAAGGUCAACAUUGAUAGAUUGCGAGAUUUGACUUUGAAGGCUGUGAUUUCCAUGCUCUUUCUUAUUUUAUUUUCUUGCCUUAGAUGUUCAGAAAUGUAUGAAUGUUAGCGUUUUAAUGCCGCUGGAAUCACUUCAUUUCGACCUCUAGAGCUUACGCUCUGCACAAAACAUCGACUGAAGGUCAAAUUUGUUAAUUACCUUCAAUUUACUCUUUUUUGCAUCUUUCAUCCAAAAGUGCCUUCAAAACAUAAAAUAAAAAAUAUCAAUGCAUUUUAUAUUUAAAACAUAGGUAAAACACUAGGGUGAAACUAUCGAAUAAUAUAGUUGCAUCAUUAGGCAUGGACAUGUUCAGACCCAACCUGGAGUUGGCCGCAGUCGCGUCUAGGCCCAAAGUGGGGUUGGGUGUGGACGCGUCCAGGUCC